GCGCAUUGAUGGGCGGCCGUUGUGUUGGCAGAUUCCGUGUGCUGCGAUGCACCUUGUGUGUCGGAAAUGCGCGUCGGAUAUUUGUUGGGUCUCACGGAUAUCGGUCCCUACGUUGAGCGGCCUGUGGGCUUGAAGCCUGCGGCCUCAUGGUGUCGGCUCAUGGUGUUGCCCACACACAUAAAUUCUUAAAUUCGUUGUUGAUGUUUCAUUGACAAGUUUUCCUUUGGGAUUCAUGUUUUUGAGGAAAUGUCAGCAAUGAAUUUAUGUGUAUGUGCAUAUCCUCACCGACCCGAAUGAUAUACGCGAUUGCCGGUUCGCAUUGUCGCGGGGGGACCUUCCUUCACGGUAGGCUCCCUAAGACGAUGCACCGGCUCUCGUUUAUGAUGUGCUACCUGGUUGAUCCUGCCAGUA
rnacentral:misc_RNA from 1 species